rnacentral:rRNA from 1 species
ACGCACGCUGGCGGCCUGCCUAACCCCUGCACGUCGAACGAGACCUUCGGGUCUAGUGGCGCACGGGUGCGUAACGCGUGGGAACCUGCCUUUAGGUUCGGAAUAACUCAGAGAAAUUUGAGCUAAUACCGGAUGAUGUCUUCGGACCAAAGAUUUAUCGCCUUUAGAUGGGCCCGCGUUGGAUUAGCUAGUUGGUGGGGUAAAGGCCUACCAAGGCGACGAUCCAUAGCUGGUCUGAGAGGAUGAUCAGCCACACUGGGACUGAGACACGGCCCAGACUCCUACGGGAGGCAGCAGUGGGGAAUAUUGGACAAUGGGCGAAAGCCUGAUCCAGCAAUGCCGCGUGAGUGAUGAAGGCCUUAGGGUUGUAAAGCUCUUUUACCCGAGAUGAUAAUGACAGUAUCGGGAGAAUAAGCGCCGGCUAACUCCGUG